rnacentral:rRNA from 1 species
GACGAACGCUGGCGGCGUGCCUAACACAUGCAAGUCGAACGAAGUUGCUGAGACUGAUUUCUUCGGAUUGACGAUUCAGCAGACUUAGUGGCGGACGGGUGAGUAACACGUGAGCAACCUGCCUCUCAGAGAGGGAUAACAGUUGGAAACGAUUGAUAAUACCUCAUGACAUGUUUUGCCGCAUGACGAAACAUCAAAGAUUUAUCGCUGAGAGAUGGGCUCGCGUCCGAUUAGGUAGAUGGUGAGGCAACGGCUCACCAUGCCGACGAUCGGUAGCCGGACUGAGAGGUCGAUCGGCCACAUUGGGACUGAGACACGGCCCAG